GACGGAGGGUGCUAGCGUUGUUCGGAAUCACUGGGCGUAAAGGGCGCGCAGGCGGGUCAUCAAGUCAGGGGUGAAAGCCCAGAGCUCAACUCUGGAACUGCCCUUGAAACUGGUGACCUUGAGUACGGGAGAGGUGAGUGGAAUUCCCAGUGUAGAGGUGAAAUUCGUAGAUAUUGGGAAGAACACCGGUGGCGAAGGCGGCUCACUGGCCCGUAACUGACGCUCAGGCGCGAUAGCGUGGGGAUCAAACAGG
rnacentral:rRNA from 1 species